rnacentral:rRNA from 1 species
GACGAACGCUGGCGGCGUGCCUAAUACAUGCAAGUAGGACGCAGUUGCGUACGGGUGAGUAACGCGUAGGUAACUACCUAUUAGAGGGGGAUAACUAUGGGAAACGAUAGCUAAUACCGCAUACUAGUAGAUGGACCUGCGUUGUAUUUGCUAGUAGGUAGGGUAAUGGCCUACCUAGGCAACGAUACACAGCCGAGCUUAGAGGGAGGUCGGGCCAACUGGGACUGAGACACGGCCCAGAAUCCGUCGGGAGGCAGCAGGAGGGAAUCUUCGGAAAUGGGGGGAACCCUGACCGAGGAACGCCGCGGGAUUUAAGAAGGGUUUCGGGUUGUAAAGCUCUGUUGUUAAGGAAGCGGUACUUAACCAGAAAGGGACGGCUAACUACGUGCCAGCAGCCGCGGUAAUAC